UGGGGAAUUUUGGACAAUGGGCGCAAGCCUGAUCCAGCCAUGCCGCGUGCGGGAAGAAGGCCUUCGGGUUGUAAACCGCUUUUGUCAGGGAAGAAAUCUUCUGAGUUAAUACCUCGGGAGGAUGACGGUACCUGAAGAAUAAGCACCGGCUAACUACGUGUCAGCAGCCGCGGUAAUACGUAGGGUGCAAGCGUUAAUCGGAAUUACUGGGCGUAAAGCGUGCGCAGGCGGUUUUGUAAGACAGAGGUGAAAUCCCCGGGCUCAACCUGGGAACUGCCUUUGUGACUGCAAGGCUUGAGUGCGGCAGAGGGGGAUGGAAUUCCGCGUGUAGCAGUGAAAUGCGUAGAUAUGCGGAGGAACACCGAUGGCGAAGGCAAUCCCCUGGGCCUGCACUGACGCUCAUGCACGAAAGCGUGGGGAGCAAACAGGAUUAGAUACCCUGGUAGUCCACGCCCUAAACGAUGUCAACUGGUUGUUGGGAAGGUUCCUUCUCAGUAACGUAGCUAACGCGUGAAGUUGACCGCCUGGGGAGUACGGCCGCAAGGUUGAAAC
rnacentral:rRNA from 1 species